GAUACUCCUGCGUUUCUACCAGUAGGUAUUUCCGGUUCCGCUGGUGGGGUCUCCCCGGUGAGCUCCAGGCCUGCUGACCCUGAGAGAUGUGAUGUUUCCUAGAAGGAAAGAGCGAACACAGGAAGACUCCGAGACUCGAAAGACAGUCGGUAAUGAGAUCUGGGAGCGGCCAGCAGGGCCUUGUGUGCCUCAAGUGCGGGUCUGGCCGGGGCCAGGGAAUGCGGCCAGGGGCCGGCCUAGUCGCAGUUGGAGCAGUGUGCGGUCUUCGGUUGGUUAUGGGGCCAUGAGAUGUAGAGGGGUCUUCCUGGCUCACAAGGUUCAGUUCAGGGUAGGCCAGGUCGCUGGUCCCCACUGCACUGUAACCUGCAGCUGUAGCCCAACCAAGUGACUCAAAGCCACGGUGGACCUUAGGCAGGAGUAGAGCCUCUGGUUUUCUGCACAGGAUAUCGAUCCACUCCUCAUACCUCCCAUUCAACCCUUUCCAGUGCCAGACGUGUCCCAUAUGAUUGACACUGGGUGCUGUGGUUAGAAACUUAAGUUAGAAAAUCGAGCCCUUUCCCAAACUCUGCCAAUGAUUGCUUCAUUCAUCUCGACCAAUUUGUAACUUGGCUUUCCUUAGCUUUUUAAAAAUUUUACUCUUUGCUCUGAACAAAGAGCUAAGAAUGUCUGUUAUCAAUAACUUAGAGGGCAAUUUUAAAAGUAAGAUAAUGUAAGUAAAAGGAAUUGUAAGUUUAU
rnacentral:lncRNA from 1 species